GGCCAGACUCCUACGGGAGGCAGCAGUGGGGAAUAUUGGGCAAUGGGCGCAAGCCUGACCCAGCAACGCCGCGUGAAGGAAGAAGGCUUUCGGGUUGUAAACUUCUUUUCUCAGGGACGAAGCAAGUGACGGUACCUGAGGAAUAAGCCACGGCUAACUACGUGCCAGCAGCCGCGGUAACACGUAGGGGGCGAGCGUUAUCCGGAAUCAUUGGGCGUAAAGGGUGCGUAGGCGGCCUUUUAAGCGCGGGGUCUAAGGCGGUGGCCCAACCACCGUUCGCCCCGCGAACUGGAGGGCUAGAGUGUCGGAGAGGGAAGCGGAAUUCCUAGUGUAGCGGUGAAAUGCGUAGAUAUUAGGAGGAACACCAGUGGCGAAGGCGGCUUCCUGGACGAAGACUGACGCUGAGGCACGAAAGCGUGGGGAGCGAACAGGAUUAGAUACCCCGGUA
rnacentral:rRNA from 1 species